rnacentral:rRNA from 1 species
GACGAACGCUGGCGGCGUGCUUAACACAUGCAAGUCGAACGGAAAGGCCCUGCUUUUGUGGGGUGCUCGAGUUGCGAACGGGUGAGUAACACUUGAGUAACCUGCCCUUGCCUUUGGGAUAACUUCAUGAAACUGGGUCUAAUACCGGAUAGGAGCUCCUGCUUCAUGGUGGGGGUUGGAAAGUUUCGGCGGUUGGGGAUGGACUCGCGGCUUAUCAGCUUGUUGGUGGGGUAGUGGCUUACCAAGGCUUUGACGGGUAGCCGGCCUGGGAGGGUAGCAGGCCAAAUUGGGACUGAGAUAAGGCACAGACUCGUAUGGGAGGCAGGAGUGGGGAAGAGUGUACAAGGGGCGGAAGCAUGAUGCAGCAAAGCCGCGUGCGGGAUGACGGCAUGCGGGUUGUAAACCGCAUUCGCCUGUGACGAAGCGUGAGUGACGGUAAUGGGUAAAGAAGCACCGGCUAACUACGUG